rnacentral:rRNA from 1 species
AUAACGGUUAGAAAUGACCGCUAAUACCGCUUAAGCGCGCGAGCCCGCAUGGCCGCGCGCGAAAAACUCCGGUGGUAUGGGAUGGGCCCGCGUCUGAUUAGCUAGUUGGCGGGGUAACGGCCCACCAAGGCGACGAUCAGUAGCCGACCUGAGAGGGUGGCCGGCCACAUUGGGACUGAGACACGGCCCAAACUCCUACGGGAGGCAGCAGUGGGGAAUAUUGCGCAAUGGGGGAAACCCUGACGCAGCAACGCCGCGUGAGUGAGGAAGUAUCUCGGUAUGUAAAGCUCUAUCAGCGGGGAAGAAGGAAGACGGUACCCGACUAAGAAGCCCCGGCUAACUACGUGCCAGCAGCCGCGGUAAUACGUAGGGGGCGAGCGUUAUCCGGAUUUACUGGGUGUAAAGGGAGCGUAGACGGCGUCGCAAGUCUGAAGUGAAAGCCCGUGGCUCAACCGCGGAACCGCUUUGGAAACUGCGAGGCUGGAGUGCUGGAGAGGUAAGCGGAAUUCCUGGUGUAGCGGUGAAAUGCGUAGAUAUCAGGAGGAACACCGGUGGCGAAGGCGGCUUACUGGACAGUGACUGACGUUGAGGCUCGAAAGCGUGGGGAGCGAACAGGAUUAGAUACCCUGGUAGUCCACGCGGUAAACGAUGAGUGCUAGGUGUCGGGGGGCAAAGCCCCUCGGUG